GGGAACUUGGUAGAUCGUUGAGGGUUGUGGUGGGUCUCUGGGGACUGUGGUGGGUUAUUAGGAACUGUAGGGCUUGGGGUGGGGUGUAAUCUGUAGCUGCGGGGUUGUGUGGGUGCUGUGGUGGUCUAUAGGGUGUGGCUUUGUGGGGGGCUGCAGUGGGCUUGUGGAGCUUUGAGGGGCAUGUGGGCUCUGAGGUGUAAUUUGGGGCUUUAAAGGUCUGUUUUGGGUGCCCCAUUGGUCCGUAGUGAGCUGCAGGAGGACGCCCUGUGGGGCUGUAGGGGAGCGUUGGGGCUGUAGGACCUGAAGUGGGAUGUAAUCUGGGGUCGUAGUGGUGUGGGGCUGUAGUGGGCUAUGAGCCCCCUGUGGGGCUGCAGCAGUGGACACCGUGGAGCUCGGGGUAGGACGUAGUUUGUGUCUGCAAGGCUGUAUGGGGGCUGUGGGAUCCAUCCCAUGGGGCUGUAGGGGGAUGCCCUGAGGGGCUGCAGUGGGUUGUAGGGUCAAGGGGAUGCUCCAUGAGCUGCGUGGGGGAGGGGCUGUAGCAAAACCCCAGCAUGAUGUGACCUCGUCCAGCUCCUGCGCUGAUCCCUGUUGAAAGCAAGUGAGAAUGCUGCAACAAAAUCUGGCUGCGGAUGAAACAUUCUUGCAGCAGCCUUGGAGGCUGAAUGUCAGCUGAGGAUCUCAAAAGUGAGGGGGAGCAGCAAACGCCUUGUCUCAAGACCCUUUUUCAGGACCUGAGGGAAUGGUGCUUCUACUGCAGCAGUGCAGCAAAAACUUGCAUGCAAGACGUGCAUCUGGAUGGUGAAUGCAGAAACACUGAAGCAAGGUAUGUUGUAAAAACAAAAACAACACAGGAACACCUGACCCACAGCCAGGAGCCUCCCCGUUACAUUGGGAACAGCCCUCAUCAGCAUCUCACACUGAGGCAGCUUGAGCUGACGAAGCCUUUGGAAAGCACUGAUUCCUAUGUGUCCUGGAGCACAGCAAGCACAGAUGAUGAUGAAGCCAUCACAGCUGGUUACAGCUGUAUUGCAUGAGCUUGAGCUGCCCAUUCUUUGGUGCCAGUGGAUGGCAUGAUGCUUUGAAAAGGAGCCCAUCAUUGGACAUCAUGGAACCUAAUUGGCACGGUUUGUCACAGCAUCAACACUGGGUAGCUUAGCCUGUAGAGCUGAGGGACCACCUCAGCCUCUCAAAAACUACUGGCACAUGCUGUCUUGCUCUUUCAACACUGCACUGAGAUUUUCAUAUUUCUCCAGCCAAUCUUCCAUUCCCUCUCUUGCAAGGAACAGCAAGAAGGGCAUGUAAAAGGCAAUAGCGAGGCUGGAAAAUCCCAAGUAAGGCUCUACCCCUGGCUGAAGGUCAGGAGAGUGGCCAUAAAUGCUGGCCAAGGCUGGAUCAUGAGAGGCUCCUCAGGGAUGGGGAGCCGUGGACAGAUGUGCGCUCCUGGAUCCAGCUGUGCCACUGGACGUGCUCCCCCCUCCAGACAUUUCUCCCCACCCUCCAGAUGCUCCAGCCCCUGCAGCACAAAGCAGCGUCGCUCACUGGGGUGAACUCUCCAUUGACAGAAUGUUGCAGAGCAUCAUUUCCAGCUAAGGCCAGUAAUGAGUAGCUGGGGCAUGGUGACAUUUCCAGCUGACAGCCCUCUGUGGAAAGAACGUCUGCCUGUGGCUGGAGAAUAACCAAGGUAGCCAAGGAGGAGCGGUUUGAGACAGUUCAGGAUUGCUGGGAGGAGGUCGGCGAGCCAUGCAGCAAAACUAGUUGCAUUUCAUAGAAAAGUGUAAGAAGGGCUUUUAUAGCCAAAGUUGUAGCAGGGAAGCAGGCAAGGAGGGAAGUGAAACUAUGAGCAAACCAAAGGGGCUCGUACUCAGAGCCCCCCUCAAAAUCCCGUCCCCUUAGUUCCCAAAAACGUGUUUUGGGAAAUGUUAGAUUUAAGAAAUCAAUCUGUGUAGGCUGCAGACAUCCUCUGGUAUUCAUCCUCAGUUGUUAAUGGAAGGAUUAGUUAAUGAACAUUUUGAUCCGUAGGUGGCUAUUUUAUAAAUUUUUGGACAACGUGGUCCUGAGAGGCAGAAAGGAAAUGUGGUGGUGAUUUAGAGCAGAAAAGGAUAGAAUAUAAUUCUGGCACUCACCAGCCUAUAAAUAUCGUAGAACAAAUAUUUAAGAAAAAGUCAUGAUGAAAUGUUUAGAGCUUGGUUCUGUCCACACGAUAGUGUCAACAGGGAGAAACUGCAGAAGCCAGAUGCUGAGUAAAAUUACCAGGAGACAAGAGUUGGACUUGAAGAAUGAUGGGCACAGAAAACUUUUCUUCUUUUCCAACUUUUUUUUUUUGGUGGGAAGAGGUAUAACGUUAGAGAAUGACAGAGCCAGAAGAUGAAGGGAGCACACAUUUAUGAACAUGUGUUUUUGUUUUGAUUAAUGUAUUCUGCUUCUUUGUCUUAGGAAAUAAGAAAUUAGAAUAAAAAAAAUGUGUUGGUCUGAAACACAGUUUGUGCAAACUGAAAACACAUUGAAAUGCAGUAACUAAUCCCAAACAAGAGCAAGCUGCGUUGAACAAGGCGUGUCCACCAGGGUAGGACAAGAGUCAGGAUCAAGUUUCGUUAACAACUUUGCUGAUGAUCCGGGAGGACAGCACCAGUAUGAAUUGAAAUUCACAGAGGACAGUAAAUUAGAAGCAGAUUAGUAAGUAAGCAGGAGUUUUCUGUGGUUUAGAUCUACUUCUGUUCCAAACACCUGGAAAUUUCCACCCGAUAUGAAGAGGCAUUUCAUGCACUGAAAAAUCUCAUCUCAUUGAGUGACAUUUUCAUUACUCACCACCUAGCCCACUCAGUCUCUUUGUAACCCUCUGAAUGUACUUCUGGGUAUCUUUCACAGGUCUUUCCACAGGUCCAACCCUUCUCUUUGUUAACUUGUGUGACAUUUAGAGACACGUUUCUGGAACAAACGUGCACCCAGUGCUUGCAGCCGCCAUCUCCAGGUUUGCUACCUGCCCACUUUCCCCACAUGCAAAGAAAAUCACUUGAAGUCACUCCAGUGAUGGAGUGGUGCGCAUUUGAAUGUAUGUCCCAUCUCCACGUGGCCUCCAGCGCUCUUAUCUGCUAAUACAAAUAAAACUGGUUUCAUAAGAAACCUCCCAGGUCUGUGUUUGCCAACAUGCUCCUGUGGCACAUAGAAUGCUCCCUGACCUCCUUCUCCUUAUGUGACUUGGGUGAUCCGUGGCUGUUACUCAAGACCUUUCAUCCACGGAAUCUUGGGUAACAUCCGUGAGUUUUCUAAGUAGAAUAAGUCAGGUCCCUGGAGCGCUGACCUGGGCUCUCCACGCUAUCGGGAGAAAGGGAGCAGGGAAGGACAGAGCUUGUGAGCCUGUGUCUUCUUCCAUCAUGCCGGCCUGAGGGAACAUCAUGGAGCUGUGUCGGGAGGGUCAGGCUGAGUGUUUGGAAAAGGUCCUUCACCAGAAGGUGGUGGGCAUGGAACAGGCUCCUCAGGGCAGUAGGCACAGGCCCCAGCUGCUGGAGCUCAAGGUGCAUUUGGACAAUACUCUCAGCCAUAGGGUUUGAAUUUUGGGUGGUCCUGUGUGGAGCCAGGCGUUGGACUCGAUGUUCCUUAUGGGUCCCUUCCAACUCAGGAUAUUCUGUGAUCUUAUUAUUAUUCUGGUUCUAGAAGGACACAGGCUAUUUCUGGGGCUGAUUUGAUAACUUCUGAUCUUCUCUCACAGAUAAAGCUCAAUGUGUGAGGAAAUCAGGCUGGUGAUGGGAUCAGCUUUACCUUACGCGGAGGGAGCAGCCACGAUGGGAAAGGGAGGACUUCAUCUGUUAAUUAUUUCAGCAUCUGCUGCGGAUGAAGGGACUUUCAGAUUCCCACGCUGUCUGGCCAGUGAGGAGCUGGAGGUGCACAAGGAGCUGGAAAGGGACAGAACAAGGACAGCUGACCCAGACUCACCAAAGGGACGUCCCAUACCAUACAGCACCAUUCUGAACAAUAAAACUGUGGGGAGGGCUGCUACUGCUUGGGGACUGGAUGGACAUCAGUCAGCAGUUCUCUCUCCCGUCCCACUGGGGAGCAAUGAACGGCUGCGUGGUGCUGAGCUGCCUGCCGGGUUAAACCACAACAGCAGAAAAAUGAUGUUGACAACUUACACAAAAUACCUUGAGCACCUGUGAGUCACUUCAGUAACAUCUUUCUCUUAGAGAUAUAUAAUAGCACAGUUGGAUGCAGGAUGAUUACAGCCAGAUUUCAUGUCAAGUUAAAGCUUGUAUUAUACCCAUGCCCUCCUAGGCAAGCCCAUCAAGGACAUCACUCUACGGCACAUCCAGCAAACACCUGCCUGGAGAUCUCUGCUCUGAGCUGAGAUAAAUACAUUCUUCAGCUCCCUCAACAGAGCAGCUAUUCACUUGGACGAUCUGCAUGAUUUGUCCAGCUGCCAGAUUUUGAGCCUUGGUCUUCAUCCAGGAGAAACAGAUACCAAGUUGGGCGGCUUUUGCCUCCAGGCAUCCAAGCGUGUGUUCCAGGUGUAGUGCUGACUAACCAUCAGGAGCCACAGCGUCCGCAGAGCAGAGGUCAGUGAAGGUCACUCAGAGAUCCUGAGCAAUGCAUCAGAGUUCUUGAGCCCCGGCACUGAAGGCCCAGCACCACGGCGUGGGGAUGCCAGCUUUCCAAGCAGAUCCAUUGCUCCGUCACUCCUGGUAGCCCUGUGAUCAUAUGAAGGUCAACUCUUGGUGAGAUCCCCAGGCAAUGGAAUCACGCUGGGGGAAGGACUUUACUCCUGUUCUGUCUUUGCAGCUAUAGCGGGACAAGGUUCAGCGUCCAGACUGCUAACAAAACAAAAUCGUUCUGGGCAGUCUUUGCAAGUCAGCGGCGGCUGAGUUUUGGCAAAGAGUGCAGGGGCAAAGCCUGGCACAGCACCAGGCGGUGACGCAGUUGGUCAGCAUCCUCUGCAGCCUGAUGGUUGACCUUUUCUUUUGCGCAAUAAGAAAGCAGUGUCCUUCCUCCAUCCCAGAGGGACUUGGCCAGACCCUCAGCAUAGGAGCAACAUUCAUCUGCCCCAGCUUUAGGUGUCAACAGCAAACAUCUACAGUCCUCCUCAUCAACAUCAGCUUUCUUUAGUGACCCUCUUGUGGAGAAAUGCAGUUGCAUCUAAAGAUUGGUCUGUUGCUUUUGAUACCAACUUUAGUGUGAAGGCAAGCUCAUCCCUGGAGGUGUUUUAGGCCAAGUUGGAUCAGGCCCUGGACAAUUUCAUCUAGUGCCUGACUGAGUGGUUGGCAAUCCUGUCCCCAGCAAGGGGGUUGGAGCUCGAUGGUCUUUGAGGUCCCUUCCAACCUAAGCCAUUCUAUGAUUCUGUGAUUCAAAUCAAGCUCCAAUAUUGUGUCUGACAUUUAUAAUGCUAUGAUCUAUGUUUCUUGUGAAUUAUAAAGGUACUUCCUUGAGACACUCCACAGCCCACUCUAUGAGACCUUUUGCACAAAUGACCCUAAUCAUGCUAGAAAACAUAUGCCGGUCCCUUAAAGGCCCAUAAGCUUGGCAGCCGUUGGAGGGAUAUAACGUGCCUGUUGAGUUUGGGAGAUAGCACCAAGUUAAUCUCUACAGCAGCUUUUCAUUGCUGAAAUUGGAAGUAUCUCCACUUAGACAUUAUUAUGAGGGAUGCUCUGAAAGUAAUGCCUCCUAUUUUAUGAUGUUGGCCCACAGCAGAGGUGGAUGUUGGUGGUACGGCUGUAGAGUUUGAACCUUUCUACCAAUAUUCCAUUACAUUUUGUUGCCACAUGACAGAUGGCAGCAGAGGGAUGGUCUGACAGAACAGCAUCUAACAUGGAAGUGAUUUUGAAGCAAAGGUGUGGAAUUUAAUUCCUCCAUGUGGAAAAAAAUGGCGCUCUCAUUUACCUUCGUUGAUGCCUGAUGAACUUUUAUGGAGACCAAACAGAGGAUGUCAGCACAGUGAGGUGGUGGGUGGUGCAGGCGUGUGGGUUCUUGUUAAUCAAUGAUGAAAAUGCAUGGAUAAUGGUGGUGACUGUGUUGAAAAACAGUGUUUUAUAGCUGAGAAUUUUCUGUAUCAUAGAGUCAUAGAAUGGUUUGGGUUGGAAGGGACCUUUAAGACCAUCUAAUUCCAACCCCUCUGCUAUAGGCAGGGACAAAUAGUGUUUUCUGCUCUUUGUAUCUAUUACAGUUUCCACAGAAAUAAAUAAGAGACAUUACUUUUGGAGCAACCUAUGUACAAAUAAUAAUGUUCAAAAAUCUGCUGAGGUGGUACCAUAAAUUAGAAAGAGAUUCUCAUGAACCAUUUCCACCCUGGCUCACCAGAGAGAAAGGCUCAUGGCUUCAGUUGUGUUUUGCCCCAAAUACAUCUUAUGCAUCCUUCAGGACUUUGUUUUCUGCAUGGUGCAGAUGACAUUGGUCAACCUCCACUGAUCAGUGGAGCAUCACAAAAGGGAUGGGGUUCUUGGCAGAUGUUCUAUUGGCAUCUUUCAGUUUGGUUCAGAUGUCUUCUGUGUCACAGCAAUGUCUGUUCUGCAUUUGCACACCACAGAGGAAGAGUUGAACAAGGGAGCCCAGCAGGACUCUCAUGGACCACAUCUGAUGUGCUGGGAAGUGAGCCCACAUGAUGAUAGUUUGUAUUACAAAGCUCUGGAGUCACUGAUGACAUGGCAGGAUCCAGUGACUUCAUUCAGGCAAGCUGUAAUACAUCUUUUUAUGUAAUACAUACAAUUUUUGUUCAGAUUUUAUUUUCUUAGCUAAUGUAUUGAUGAAAGCCUCAUGCUCUGAACUGAGACCUUGCAAUGGCAGGAUUGUAAGGAGCACAGAAAGAUACAAAAUGUUUUGGUGUUUGUAGGAGGUAUUUCUAAUUUAACUUUUUCCUCAUUGUCUUUCAUCUCAUGGAAUCAUAGAAUCAUUAGAGCUGGAAGGGACCCUUACAGGUUAUCUAGUUCAUUUCCCCUGCAAUGGACAGGGACACCUACAGCUAGAUCAGGUUGCUCAGAGCCCUGUCCAUCCUGACCUUGAGUGUCUCCAGGGAUGGGACAUCAGACUUUGGUCAUGACUUAUUGAUAUUUCUCUAGUUAUUUUCAUCUCUUGAACUCUUCAGAGACCUUAAAGAAGCUGAAUGUUGGUUUUCUGAUAUCUUUGAUGGUUUUUUUGUUUGUUUGUUUGUUUUGUUUGUUUUUUUUUGUUUUGUUUUGUUUUGUUUAAAGGAGCUUUUGGGGAAGAAAAAGGGAACAUCCCUGAGUCCAAUCUGGAAAUCAGAUCCUUUGAAGCGUUCCCUCUUCUAUUUGCCAGUAAGCUGAGGUAAGCUGCUCUCUCCUUUGGAGCAGUUGGAGCAGUUCAUGUUAUUGAGGGAUGGAGAUGUAUGGUUUUUAACUUCUAGAUAGCCCAUCAGGAUGGGUCAGUAAAUCACCUAAGACUUCCCACUGGAUGAUGCAUUACCUUCUUUUAAUGUUGCAAACUGAAUAAAUCAGGCAAACGUUCUACAAGGAGCGUUUUGUACUACUUCUUCUUAACUUUCAGCCAGAAUCAUUCAGCCAUUUCUAAGAACAAAAGUGGGGAAAUAUAAGGGUUUUUUCUCCCUUUUCAGAAAAUAUCUAUGGAUUUGAGCUUUGGAGUAGGAUUGUAAUAGAAUCAUUAAAAUCAGAAAAAAAAAAAAAAACCCUAAGAUCAUCUAGUCCAACCAUCGUUAUCCUUUGGGUUCCAGUGAAUAUGUACCCAUCUGAAACCAUUUUCCAAACUCCCAUUGGCCUGUGCUCAGGUGUGAUUUCUCAAAUGACAGCAAAAGACUAAACCCCAAAAAGAUGGGAGUGAAACCCCCAAAGGACUCAAAGUGCACCGAAUGUCUUCCUCUUGGAGGCAGAGCAGGACUCCCUCUGUACUCCCUGGGCUGCUGUGGGAUGUCGGGUCCAUCAUCCAGUUCUGUAGGGUUCAGCAGAGAGCAGCAACAGAUAAAUGCUGAUUAGCUGCUCAUUAACAGGGCACAGCACAUCCUGAGCACUGAACGAGGCAGCCGCUCUCUGCAGAUAGCAGCAUGUGAGGGUGUCAAUAAAGGCUAUCUGGGUGCACCCACACGAGCUGCGUCACUGCAAGUUGCAUGGAUAUUUUUAAGCCAGGGUUUUUUCCCACCUUGUGCUUGCUCAUCUUUGGCCAGUGAGGGUGUCCUAUCUCAAAUGUACCUGGAUGCGAGCUCCUCUGUUAUUCACACAAUUUCUGCAAAAUUAAAACUUAAGGAUAAAGGGAGGUAAACAUAGUCUGUCAUUACUGAGUAUCAACAGCAGUACACCCAGAUACACCCAGAAGAGUGUUGGGGCCCCCCAGACAUGCCAUACAGCCCAGGGUAGGGCAGAAGUUUCAUGCUGCCAAUCUCAAACUAACCACACUCAUUACUUCCAGCCUGCAGUGAGGUCCCAGGCACCUAUCCUAUCACAUACAAAUAUUUGUCACAGCAACAGGAAUAGCGUGAUCUUAUCUUCGCUCACCAUGCCAAGAACCCACUCUGAUGUCAAGGUGACCAUGCAGUGCUUGCUCA
ensembl:lncRNA